UAGAAUUCAUAGGAAGGUUUUAGAGAUCUUCCUUGACCAAAGCCGUCAAGGUGUACAUAAGGGGAGAUGCUCGUCAAUAAGAUAGAUGUACUGUGAUCAUCCAUGCCCACUUGAUCAAGGUCCAGGUCAAUUGGGAAUUCGAAAUUGUUGUUCUUAUCUGCAUACGCGAACUAGUGAGAUGAUAGCUAGAGGAAUCCAUUAUAGAAGAUCUUGAACAGAUUGGCUACUAUUGAUGCUGCCAAUAAAGCUCUAGGAUAAGCCAAUGCUGCUUCACC
rnacentral:lncRNA from 1 species